CAGAAACAGAACCCGUUCACCUCAUGCCAAGCAGUCACAACAUUAAGACCUGGAAUCUCAGGUUCCGAGUGGCGUCGGUCAGAGGAACCUGGGACUGUUGGAGCUAAAACAUCAACGACUCGGCCCACAGAACUCAGGUGUUCCACAAGGAUGCGUCCCUGGACCCCUGCAGUUUCUCACUGCAGCACCAGCCUGGCACCAUUACAAACCCCCGGUCCAAUCACAGGACUGACGCUGAGGGCUGUCCAAUAGAUGGAUGCCCCCAGAGGUCAAACACUGUCAUGACGUCAUCCUUGUGCGACACAAACUCAACGCAGCGCUGGAUGAUUUGGAAGCAGGUUGAACAUUUCUGUUAAAAUACUUUUUAUUGGUCUGGUGUGAUUCUGAGUCAAAACACCUGAAGUCACUCUGAGGGAAAUAAAUCAACCAUUUUACUUUUUGA